rfam:Candidatus Competibacter denitrificans Run_A_D11, WGS project CBTJ02000000 data, contig: COMPD11_2694_Contig_4, plasmid: pCD
AAAGUGCCACCGAGAAAGGGCCGACCCAGCCCAUCUCGUACCGAGUCUUGAGCCGACUGCCGGUAACGACAGGGGUUAAGCGUAGACAGGGAUGCGGUAGGCCGUAAGCCGCAAGGCUGAAGUGAUGGAGCCCCGUUAAUGAUACUUGCGGGAGGGUCGAUGACGU